ACAUUUGAAGGAGAGACAGAAGUUCUCUUUGGGCAGAUAAAGAAAUAGUCUAAGGUGAAGCAUCUGCAAUAUGGGGCCAAGAAAUAUGGGAAGGAUUCAACAGAGAUGUGGAGGGGAUUUAUUACAAGGGCAGAGGAUGGUGAGAAAAGAAAUGCUUCCUGUUUCCUUCUUGGACUUCUCUCAUUUAGCUGAGAGCUGAGAUCAAAACAGAAGAAUAUGACUGUUAGUCAAGUGGCCUCUUGGCUACUUUCUCUCCCAGGAAAUCAGCAUCCCAAAGCCCUAGGGAGAGGCAUGAUGAUGACAAUCCUCCUGUCCUGUACUCCUUACAUAAUGAAACUGUGACCCACUAGGAGUAAGACUUGGUUUUUGUCACUGCCCUCCCCACUCCCACCCCUCGCUAUGAUGAUUGAUAUUUUCCACAUUUGUUAAUGAAAGUAGUCAUUUAAAUAUUGAGUGAAGAUGACUCUUUCUCUUUAUUUCUCUGAGGAUAGUUCGUCUCAGAGGAUUAACUCUUAGAGGAUAAAGUUCACUCCAUGUCUUGGGGAAUAGGCCCAGCAUCCUUUGAGAUUACCUC
rnacentral:lncRNA from 1 species